rnacentral:rRNA from 1 species
GACAGAGGGUGCAAACGUUGUUCGGAAUUAAUGGGCGUAAAGCGAGUGUAGGCGGUCUUGUAAGUCGGAUGUGAAAGCCCCGGGCUCAACCCGGGAAGUGCACUCGAUACUGCGAGGCUAGAGUACUGGAGAGGUUGGUGGAAUUCUCGGUGUAGAGGUGAAAUUCGUAGAUAUCGAGAGGAACACCGGUGGCGAAGGCGGUUCUCUGGGCCUGUACUGACGCUGAGGAGCGAAAGCGUGGGGAGCAAACAGG